rnacentral:lncRNA from 1 species
GGCUACCCAUUCAAGACUGUUUCCACACUGUGGAAGCUUUGUACUUUCACUCUGCUCAAUAAAGCCUGCAGCUUUUUCUCACUCUCAGUCCAUGUCUCUUUCACUCACUGUGGUCAGCUUCCACACCAUUUCUUUGGUGUGGCUUGGCAAGAACCUCAGGUGUUACAUCUUGGCGAGCCAGACAGGAGACUCCAGAAAAGGGGUGAUUUUCCUGUACCAGUCCAAUGCCUCCAGAGGAAGAUCAUACAUUUGCCAUUUUACUGCUUAGUACGCAUGCUUGAGCCUGCUCGCCCAACUGCUGAGAUCUUAUUCAGAAACUGCUGAUCACCAACUCCAGGUGUUUUUAUUACACAAGACAAAAACGGAAAAACAGUAACAAAUGAUUGGUUAAGCCUUUCAAAACAAAGAAGUUGAAGGUCACUGGAAUAGGUUCAUUACACUCAAGCAAAGGCCUGGGGAAAUGAUAGAAUUACCUCUGUUGACCCAGAAGAGCACCAAAAGCACCAGUGUGCAGAAAUCAGAGACCUCAAGCUAAAAGUCAUAAAAGGUAAGUGUUUAUAAUUAACCUUUCAUGGAUAUCCUCUUUAUAGUCCUGUCUAUGAUUGCUGUUCUUAUCUUCAUUCUGUUCCUCACUAUAAGGUGUCUUUGCCAAGGACCCCUUAAUCCUGAACACCCAUGGGAUUAUCUACUCCCUUAAACAACUAUCUCUCUUCUAAAAUGUAACUAUCCUCCCCCAUACAAGAUUUAGUUUCCUUCACAAGGGUGAAACAGUUCUGGCCACAACAUUGUUUUCAGAAUAAUUAGUCUACUUUACUUUUUUCUUUUAUCUCUGGCACUAAAUGUUCCCUUUUAGCUCCUCUUUGUAUAAUACUUAUAUUUGGUCCAUGCAUACUUAACCUCCUUGUAAAAUUUGUUUCUUCUUGCCUAAAGGCCAUCAAACUCCAAAGGGUCAUGCAAAUGGAGCCUUAGAUGAUGGCUUCCUUUUUAUCAGGGACACUUACAGGUCUCUGAAUGAUAUCUGACUGCCAUUUUCCCAAAACAAUGCUCCCUGUCAGUAUGAACGGUCAUUGUCCCUAUCCUAACAGCUAGAUGUACCUCUUCAGAUGGGGGAUUGAUAGCAGCAGGAGACAGACAUAUUCAUAGGCAGACAGAGACAGAUUCCCAGUGAAACCUAACCUUCAAGCCAAAGACAGUUUAAAGCCUGAAAACUGAGCUGCCAGUUCCAGAUAGAGUCCCUGACCAGAGUGAGAACUUCUAUUCCCAUCUUACCCACUCUCAGUUGGUUCCUUCUGAAUGAAGCCUUUUAGCCAACUGAAAAGUGAUUUUUCCAAGACCAUACACAGACGAAUCAGUACACACUCACCUCUUCUAAGCCCAUAAAAACCCUGGACUCAGCCUCACAGGCUGCUACCCACUUUCAUUCUGCUUGUGUGGCUGACAGCUUUCUUUCUGUAGCUCAAUAAAAUUCUACUGCCUUACUCACUUUCAGGUGUCUGCAUAUCUUAUUUUUCUUGGUUGCAGGACAAGAACCUGGAAGUCGUCGAACUGUGGAAGCAAAAGACCUGUAAUGCUCCUGCUUGCCGAGCUGUGAGCAGUGGUAGUAAAAGAGCAGUAACAUUCUCUCCUGCUUGCCAAACAGGAGAGAAGCCACUGGCACCACUCCCUCCCACUCACUGAACUAUAGAAGAGAAAAAAUUGAAACACCAAAAUUGGGGAAAUGCGACUUUUGCGAAAAUUUGAAAGUGCAUGCUUCACAGAAGGAAGGGGGAGCUGGUCUAUUAUGUCUCACUAUAACAAGACUAAAAUUUUGCAAAUAAAUUGUUCCUGCCAUAAUUUAUCCUUGGUAGAAAUGAAGAAAUUGGAGAGAGAAAAAAUUGGAUUCUAGGUCCUGACCAUUGUUUUUGAAUUUUUAUUAUUUUCCUACAAUUUAGGCUAAAUUCUGAACUAUUUGCUGGCUACAAGAGGCCUCUAAAAAAGAGCUGGGUUUUAGUUUUCUUCAUGCUCUUUAAAAACUGGCAUAUAAUGGUGUGUAUCUCUCGUUGUUUUACUUCUAAGAAACUGAAGGCAUGAUAUUCUGAAGACUAGAGGUGAUUCAAUAGCCUAUGAAUCUUCUUCAUUUGGAACCCCACUGGGCCUGAUCUGUUUCCCAUCACCAAUGCACUUCUGCUAAACCUAUAUCCUAUCAAGUACUCUCCCUAAAUGCUCAGAGACCAUAACAGAAGAUGAGGGUGUGUGAGAUUAUAAAAGCCAAAUUAGUGGAGUGGAAUCUGGAGGCUAAAGCAACUCCAUCUUGGAUGCUAAUCUGCCAUGUUGGCUUCUGAUUAACCCCAGUUCUGGAGGGCCUCUGAGGUUUCCAAUUUAUCUACUGUCCCUUGUGUAAGAACAAGUACUUAUCAUAAAUCCUGCUAUUAGGGCAAAUUUCUACCCAUUCCCUCUGAAGCAUGUGCACCUCUCCUCUACAUGUAAUCUCCCCUACAAUAGAUAAACCCCUCUGGGUCUGGGGGCUAAUAGUGUGGGAACCCAUCAUCUUGCCUCACUGCUGCACAAGCCACAGGUGUGGCUUCUGUUUCUAAGUCCCUAUUAAAUGUUUCUAGAUACCAGAUGUAUCAACCUCUUUCUUCAGCCUCUCAGCUUCCUGGGACUUUGGGGUUGGUUUGCAUAGACCUACCCACCAAAAAACUCUCACAGAGUCAGUCUUAAAUACAUACAGAGCACGGUUGGGAAAAUUCCAUGAAUAUUUAUAGGGGAAGUCAUGUGCUUGAAAAUUGGAUAAACUUGUAUGUAACAUACAUUCCAUUUUGACCUGGGGGUGAGGUUUCAGCUGGGAUUCGACUGUUUAUGUCAAAAGGUAAACUCUAGGGCAAAAAGAAUUUGGACAUAGUCUCUGCAAGCUGACUGAAACUGGCUUAAGAUCUAUGGUCACUUAUCAAUAAAGAAUGUGAUAAAAACGGUCUUUGUCCAAUCAGAGUGCUGGCAGGACCACAAGGCAAGGAAAGGGCAUUGACAGUUGGAGUCCAGUGAUUUAUUAGUAUUGGUUGGAAAAUUUUUCAAUUAUAGUUGUUUUGGCAAUGUUUUUCAGGAGCUGGUUUCUGUUUAAUUACAGAAAAGAAACCUUAUGUAAAUUAACAACAACAGGAUACAUGAACAAUCCUUCAUCCUACUAGCCAUGAAAUUCUGGAGUUUUUUGUUUGUUUGUUUGUUUUAGGGUUUUUUUUGUUGUUGUUGUUUUGCUUUGUCUCAUUGUAGCCACAGAAAGUCCAUUUGGUCUGUCUGUUGGGGUAUAUUGUGACAAUUCCAUUUGUCUUUAGCUGAAAAUGGUUUCAAGCCUGAAUUCUAAGCCACCUCAUUUUCUCCUAGUAUCUCCCAUGUGUUAGCUUAAAAGAAAAACACAACUUAUAAAUGUAGAAAACGAGAAGAGGAGACUUUGUUUCUUAUAGAGGAU